UACAGAGGUCCCAAGCGUUGUUCGGAUUCACUGGGCGUAAAGGGUGCGUAGGUGGCGGGGUAAGUCGGAUGUGAAAUCUCGGAGCUUAACUCCGAAACUGCAUUCCAUACUGCGGUGCUUGAGGACUGGAGAGGAGACUGGAAUUUACGGUGUAGCGGUGAAAUGCGUAGAUAUCGUAAGGAAGACCAGUGGCGAAGGCGGGUCUCUGGACAGUUCCUGACGCUGAGGCACGAAGGUCAGGGGAGCAAACGGG
rnacentral:rRNA from 1 species